AAAAAGAUAGACUAAGUUUUUAAGUUAUUAGAUUCAUAAUCUUAAGAUAUAAAUUAUUAUUCUUUUUA
rnacentral:tRNA from 1 species